CCAUUUUGUACAGUCUGUCAAUAUCUCCACUAUGUUUGAUUUCUAUGUGGUUGUCAUGGAGAUAGCCUGUGUAGUAAAACCAUGUGUUCUCAUACUGUUCUGUUGCUAUGGGAACUGGAAAUGGUGACUCUUUGGCUGCAUGUACUCUUUUCUUCUUUUUUGGAUUAACCAGCUUAGAGAAUGCCAUACCAACAAAUAGAAACUUUUUUUUUUACCUGAAUAGAAAGCAAUAGUUACUAUGCUUGGAAAAUUAUUGUUUGUCUUUUUAUCAUGUGGUAUGAUUGCCAAUGAGACAACUCUCCACAAGAGACCAAAAUGACACAGAAGUUAACAACUAUAGGUCACUGUAUGGCCUUCAACAAUGAGCAAAGCCCAUAUCCCAUGGAUGUCAGCUAUAAAAGGCCCUGAAAUGACAAUGUAAAACAAUUCAAACAAGAAAACUAACAG
rnacentral:lncRNA from 1 species